rnacentral:rRNA from 1 species
AGUGAACGCUGGCGGUAGGCCUAACACAUGCAAGUCGAACGGCAGCACAGUAAGAGCUCGCUCUUACGGGUGGCGAGUGGCGGACGGGUGAGGAAUACAUCGGAAUCUACUUUUUCGUGGGGGAUAACGUAGGGAAACUUACGCUAAUACCGCAUAUGACCUACGGGUGAAAGCAGGGGAUCUUCGGACCUUGCGCGAUUGAAUGAGCCGAUGUCGGAUUAGCUAGUUGGCGGGGUAAAGGCCCACCAAGGCGACGAUCCGUAGCUGGUCUGAGAGGAUGAUCAGCCACACUGGAACUGAGACACGGUCCAGACUCCUACGGGAGGCAGCAGUGGGGAAUAUUGGACAAUGGGCGCAAGCCUGAUCCAGCCAUACCGCGUGGGUGAAGAAGGCCUUCGGGUUGUAAAGCCCUUUUGUUGGGAAAGAAAAGCAGCAGGUUAAUACCCCGCUGUUCUGACGGUACCCAAAGAAUAAGCACCGGCUAACUUCGUG